AUUUUCCUGCUGUGUUCGAUAAAUGCGACUAAUACUAACCCUAUGACAAUUAAAAGGGAGCCCGACUUCCGCGGCGGAUUGCAGACCUCCCGUUUUACGGACGAAGGGAGCGUGAACCCGUAGAGAGGGCACCCACCUGCUGAAAGCAGGUUACUAUUAUCGCAUCCGGCACGGCGGGACAACU
rnacentral:other from 1 species